UUCUUUGGAGCCCCUUCAAGGCCAAACUAUGCAAAUUUAUCACAUCUGGUUGCAUUAUUUACAUCAAAUGGCAUCAUAAAUUUUAUAGGCAUUAUAAACUCCGUUUCGGUAUGGCCUGAUGCAGCCCCUUUCUUUGAAGGCAGCAUGAAAUGCCAGGGAAGAAGAUGUUUCAACUCCUAAUGAGGAUCAGGAUACACAGAGAGAAUACGGUUCCUGCCUUAUGAUUAGUGAAGCUGACCUCUGAAGUCCUCACCCUCCCAGAAAAAUGAAUUUCCUGUGACCUGGGAUCCUGAGAACAUUGGACUCUUGGAAAGAGAGAAGCAUGAAGACUUCUAGAAUCUGGAAUGGUAGAAAAUCCCUCCACUAGAACUCCUACAAAGAGGGAGACCCAUGUAUACCAAGAGAAAUUCUAUUCUUUCUUAUCUUUGUUAUAUACCCAAGACCCACCUCGGACUCCAGGGACACAAAUUUGGUCUUCUUCAGAUUGGGUGACCAAAACGUAAAGUUUAUUACCGUGGUCAACAGAGAUCCAGAAGCAGAUGAUCAUCCUUCUGAAGAAUCAUCAGAAGUUCUGCUCAGACACUCAAGUGGAACUUCCAGAUGGUUGCCCUGUCUAAGAUUUUAUUUAUUUGUCAGAGAGAGAGAGAAUGAGCAGGGGGAGCAGCAGGCGGAGAAGCAGGCUUCCUGCGGAGCAGGGAGACCGAUGUGGGACUCGAUCUCAGGACCCUAGGAUCAUGACCUGAGCCGAAGCCAGAUGCUUAACCGACUGAGCCACCCAGGCAUCCCAGCAUGUUUGUUUUUGUAAUAAACUGCCAAAUUGUCUUCCAAAGUGGCUGUACCAUUAUGCAUUCUCACCAGCAAUGAAUGAAAGUCCCUGUGGCUCCACAUCCUCACCAGCACUUGGUGCGUCAGGAUUCCAGAUUGUGGCCAUUUUAAUAGACGUGUAGUGGUAUUUCUUUGUUGUUUUAAUUUGUAUUUCCCUCUUGACCAUCUGAGGUGGAGCAUCUUUUCAUAUACUUAUUUGCUGUCUAUAUAUCUUAUUUGGUGAGGUGUCUGCUAAAGUCUUUAACUCAUUUUUUUUGUUGGGUUGUUUGUUUUCCUACUUUGGAGCUUUAAGAGUUCUUUGUACAAAGGUGUCUAUAUUUUUUCUAUUAUUUCCUUUCCAUCAUGUUAUCUGUAAAAUUUAAGAUAUAUUAUUUUCCAGGAUGGGCUUAGAUGGAUGAUGGGUAUUAAGGAGGGCACUUGAUAUGAUGAGCACUGGUGUUGUAUGUAAGUGAUGAAUCACUGAAUUCUACUCCAGAAACCAACA